GGGGAAUCUUGCGCAAUGGGCGAAAGCCUGACGCAGCAACGCCGCGUGCGGGAUGAAGGCCUUCGGGUUGUAAACCGCUUUCAGCAGGGACGAAACUGACGGUACCUACAGAAGAAGCCCCGGCCAACUACGUGCCAGCAGCCGCGGUAAUACGUAGGGGGCAAGCGUUGUCCGGAUUCAUUGGGCGUAAAGAGCUCGUAGGCGGUUCGGCAAGUCGGGUGUGAAAACUCCAGGCUCAACCUGGAGACGCCACCCGAUACUGCUGUGACUUGAGUCCGGUAGGGGACCACGGAAUUCCUGGUGUAGCGGUGAAAUGCGCAGAUAUCAGGAGGAACACCGGUGGCGAAGGCGGUGGUCUGGGCCGGCACUGACGCUGAGGAGCGAAAGCGUGGGGAGCGAAC
rnacentral:rRNA from 1 species